AUUGAACGCUGGCGGCAUGCUUUACACAUGCAAGUCGGACGAGUGGCGAACGGGUGAGUAAUAUAUCGGAACGUACCGAGUAAUGGGGGUUCACUAAUGGAAAGAUUAGCUAAUACCGCAUAUUUUUCGAGCGGUCGAUAUCUGAUUGGCUGGUUGGUGGGGUAAAGGCCUACCAAGGCGACGAUCAGUAGCGGGUCUGAGAGGAUGAUCCGCCACACGGGGACUGAGACACGGUCCAGACUCCUACGGGAGGCAGCAGUGGGGAAUUUUGGACAAUGGGCGCAAGCCUGAUCCAGCCAUGCCGCGUGUCUGAAGAAGGCCUUCGGGUUGUAAAGGACUUUUGUCAGGGAAGCGGUACCUUAAGAAUAAGCACCGGCUAACUACGUGCCAGCCGCCGCGGUAAUAC
rnacentral:rRNA from 1 species